CCUGAAUGAAAACAACAUGGUGUAGUGUUGCAUAUGAUCAUUUAGUUUUGCUUUCCUUUUUCCAAUCUUGUGUGAAUUGUAUAGCUGUUUCUCAAGAACUCGUAACUUCUGUUGUUGGGAAUUUUAGGGAGAUGUAAAUCUGAAUAAAUAGGAGUAUUAAGUGAAACACAUGUUGAAUUUGACCUCUUUUGUCAUAUAGUUUGCUUCCUUUUUUCCAAUCUUACAUGAAUUUUGUUGUCUAACAGAUGGGCUCUGAGUUUGGACUUGGGCAUGGCCGCCGUGCAGUCCGCCACCGCUGUCUCCCCCUCUGCGUCAGCAUCCCGUCUCCUGCAGGACCAUGGCCUCCGCAGCGCCGGCGUCAUCGAGCACAGCAAUGCCGACGCCACUGGGGCGUGUAGUAUACUGGAGGCUCUGUGUCAUACGAGUAGAUCAUCCAAGAUGGUUCCCACUUGCACAUCAAUGCUCACAAGUACUUGCAGUACUAGUUUGUUUUAGGCUGCUGCUGUAAUCAACUAUGUGCUUCCUAGUCAUUUUCUGCAUCGUAUUGAACAUUAUUUAGUUUAAUGUAUGGCAUGAAACUAUUUUC
rnacentral:lncRNA from 1 species